UACGAAGGGGGCUAGCGUUGUUCGGAAUUACUGGGCGUAAAGCGCACGUAGGCGGAAAUUUAAGUCAGGGGUGAAAUCCCGGGGCUCAACCCCGGAACUGCCUUUGAUACUGGGUUUCUUGAGUUCGGAAGAGGUAAGUGGAAUUGCGAGUGUAGAGGUGAAAUUCGUAGAUAUUCGCAGGAACACCAGUGGCGAAGGCGGCUUACUGGUCCGAUACUGACGCUGAGGUGCGAAAGCGUGGGGAGCAAACAGG
rnacentral:rRNA from 1 species